GUCUUAUUGAAAAUAAUUUUAAGUCAAAUCUGCUCAAUGAAAAUUAAAUAGCUGCAGUAUCAAUAACUGUACAAAGGUAGCAUAAUAAUUAGUUUUUUAAUUAAAAACUAGAAUGAAAGAUUUAAUGAAAUAUAAACUGUCUCAAAUUUAAAUAAUAAAUUUUUUUUUUAAAUAAAAAAAUUUAAAUUUAAUUUAAAGACGAGAAGACCCUAUAGAAUUUUAAUUAUAAUAUUAUUAUAAUAAUAAUUAUAAUUUUAAUUGGGGAAAUUUUAAAAUUUAAAUAAUUUUUAAUUAAUUAAACAAUUAUUUUUGAAUAAAAAAUUUUUUUUAAAAAAAUAAAUUUAAAUUACCUUAGGGAUAACAGCAUAAUUUUUUUAAAAAGUUCAAAUUUAUAAAAAAGUUUAU
rnacentral:rRNA from 1 species